rnacentral:rRNA from 1 species
CCUACGGGGGGCAGCAGUGAGGAAUAUUGGUCAAUGGACGCAAGCCUGAACCAGCCAUGCCGCGUGCAGGAAGACGGCCCUAUGAGUUGUAAACUGCUUUUGUACGAGAGUAAACGCAGAUACGUGUAUCUGUCUGAAAGUAUCGUACGAAUAAGGAUCGGCUAACUCCGUGCCAGCAGCCGCGGUAAUACGGAGGAUGCAAGCGUUAUCCGGAUUUAUUGGGUUUAAAGGGUGCGUAGGCGGUCGGGUAAGUUAGAGGUGAAAUCCCGGGGCUCAACUUCGGAAUUGCCUCUGAUACUGGUAGGCUAGAGAGUAGUUGAGGUAGGCGGAAUGUAUGGUGUAGCGGUGAAAUGCUUAGAGAUCAUGCAGAACUCCGAUUGCGAAGGCAGCAUACCGGCGCGCAACUGACGCUGAUGCACGAAAGCGUGGGUAUCGAACAGGAUUAGAUACCCUUGUAGUC